UACGUAGGGUGCGAGCGUUGUCCGGAAUUAUUGGGCGUAAAGAGCUCGUAGGCGGUUUGUCGCGUCGGCCGUGAAAACUUGGGGCUUAACCCCGAGCCUGCAUUCGAUACGGGCAGACUAGAGUUCGGUAGGGGAGUCUGGAAUUCCUGGUGUAGCGGUGAAAUGCGCAGAUAUCAGGAGGAACACCGGUGGCGAAGGCGGGACUCUGGGCCGAUACUGACGCUGAGGAGCGAAAGCGUGGGGAGCAAACAGG
rnacentral:rRNA from 1 species